rnacentral:rRNA from 1 species
AACGAACGCUGGCGGCAUGCCUAACACAUGCAAGUCGAACGAGACCUUCGGGUCUAGUGGCGCACGGGUGCGUAACGCGUGGGAAUCUGCCCUUAGGUUCGGAAUAACUCCCCGAAAGGGGUGCUAAUACCGGAUAAUGUCUUCGGACCAAAGAUUUAUAGCCUUUGGAUGGGCACGCGUUGGAUUAGCUAGUUGGUAGGGUAACAGCCUACCAAGGCGACGAUCCAAAGCUGGUCUGAGAGGAUGAUCAGCCACACUGGGGCGGGGACACGGCCCGGACUCCUACAGGAAGCAGGAGUGCGGGAUAUAGGACAAUGGGGGGAAGGCAGAUUGAGCUAGGGCGGGUGAGUGAUGAAGGCCGGAGGGUUGUAGAGCUCGUUUAUCCGGGAUGAUAAUGACGGUACCGGAAGAAUAAGCACCGGCUAACUCCGUG